GGUCAAGAGUCGGGGUGUCAUCCUUGACAGUACUCUUUCCUUCAAAUCCCACAUCAGCCUUACCACUCGGACUGCCUAUUUCCACCUCCGCCACAUCAAUCGGCUCCGUCCGUCCCUCUCCCCCAACACCGCCUCCAUCCUCGUCCACAGUCUCGUCACCUCCUGUCUGGAUUACUGCAACUCCCUCCUCUUCGGUCUCCCUCACACGUCUCUCCAUAAACUUAAACUGGUCCACAACUCGGCUGCCCGGAUCAUCAUCAAAACCCCUUCAUCCCACCACAUCACCCCCAUCCUGCAGCACCUCCACUGGCUCCCGGUCCCACUAAGAAUCCAGUUCAAAAUCCUCCUGUAUACCUUUAAAGCCAUUCACAACCUUGCCCCUACUUACCUGUCUGACCUCCUCCACAUCGCCACUCCAUCCCGCCGCCUCCAAUCCUCUUCCUCUCUCCACCUCACUGUGCCCCCUGUUCACCUCAGCACCAUGGGGGGCAGAGCUUUCAGUCGCUCUGCCCCCCGACUCUGGAACUCUUUACCAUCACACAUCCGCAACAUAGACUCCCUCCCCCUCUUCAAGUCCAAACUCAAAACACACCUGUUCAAACUGGCCUAUCCAUCCCAACACCCCUAACUCAUUCUUUUAUUUAUUUCUUUAUUUAUUCCUUUGCUGUUGUUAAUGUUGCUUUGUUGAUUUUAACUGUUUUGAUGAUUGAUGAUUCUAAUUGUUAAUAGUGUUUUGUUAUCAUUGUUUUAUAUGUUCUGUAAAGUGUCCUUGAGUGACAUGAAAGGCGCUCCAAAUGAAAUGUAUUAUUAUUAUUAUUACCAUUGUACAGUGGUAUACCAGUAUUGUAUGUUGUUUCAAUGUCAUUUCACAGACACUUUUAUCCACAGGGACAUACACUCGAGAGCGAGAACAGUACAAGCAACAAUCUAGAGAAGAAAAAAAUCACAAUCUUAUUAUUGGUGGUUAAUGGCUGAGCAGUGAUGGAGUGGUAAAACAGUUCAUAUGGGCUAGGUUGAGGGGACAUCAGUCAAAUUGAAGAAAACAAAUGUCCCAGUGUGACAGGACUGGUGCAACGAGAAGAAGACACCAAGAGAAGAGUGAAAGGUGAAGUGGUGGUGUGAUUUUCUGCAUGUGUGGAGAGUGAGACAAAAAGUCAAUGUUUUAGCUUCACUGUGUAUGUUGAGCUGGAAGUCAAUUCAGCUGAGAUGAUCGAGGAGAACUCUGCUGCAAAGGGGUCUUGUGUCACUCAAAGACAAGGCCAUUGCAUCGGGGUCCUGCUCACCCUGUUAGGAUUUCAUUUGUCCCACUAUCCUUCUGACCAACUCAAGUCAUAAACAAAUUUAGACUAAAUAUGGAUCUUCAGCAUACAGCUGAGGAAAGUCCUUGCACUGUAACACCUUUAAGCCUAGCUUCACAUCAGCCUCCCUGUGCGAUCAAUUAACAUAAAACUGGAUUUUUGAAUAAUUGAUACAAUUUUAAACAUUUACAUGGAAGGCAAGGUUAGUCAAGGUGAGCAGGACUAGUGCAGGAAUAUGAAUGUUGACUUUUCUGUCCUCUUCAAACUCUCCUCCUCCUUCUCCAAACUGAAGCUAACGUCACAACUUAAACGCUGUGACUGUUUUGACAACAGUUGAAGUAACUCUGUAGAGAUCAGAAACAGACGCUCUCAUCAGCUGCGACUUUGCUGUUCAGACUAGAGGAGGGGUCCUUCAGCUCCUCAGGCUGUUCUCACAUAACUGCCGACAGUCUUUAUCUCCUGACUCAAGACCAGCCUGAGACAGACACAAAUAUUUUUUAGCCACAGUGUCAACAGGCAGAGGGGAAAUAUGGCUGACUCUUUCUGCUGACUGGUCAUACAUGUGUUCAGGUCUUUCCUGGUGUCACUCCUGUUGUUUAGAAUUAUUCAUCCUUUUUUGUGUAUUUUGACCAAUUCAGAAUAUGGUUUAUACGAGGUUACUUUAUUUAACAAAAAUGAUGACAAUUGUCAACCCUUUUUUCCAUUAGGACAAGUCAAUGGUGAGCUUAAGUACAUCACUGAUGAUGAAAACCCUGGUAGGUAGGUACAGGUCUUUUGUCGAUGGGACUGUGAAAUGAGGAAAUGGUUUUAGGUGGACUGUUAGCCUUUUUGAAUUCAUCAUAUUUUCUCCACUGUGCUCCUCAUCUGUCACCUAAACAUGAGUCAGGAAUUCCGGUAACAGACUGAGAUAGACAUGAUAUAAACUUGGUCACAUCUCUGCAGCCAAGUGCACCAUGGGUAAUAAUCCUCUCUGCCUCCAUGCUUCUUUCUGUCCUUUAUUCAUAAGCUUUUCCUGAUGCACGUCACAAAGACACAACCAGGCCAGAGUCAGUCAAAGGUUUGUCAUGUGCCUAUUUUCUGCCGUAGUAACAGCUAAGAGAGCAAAUAUAUUAAGACAUUAUUUUGUAGUAGAGAUAAAUUAUUGAUCAUUGAUGAUCAAGAUUCAGCUGAGAGAGACAUGAAAACUCUUUCUGCUCAGUGUACUGGUCCAGAGGCGUGGAAUGAAGGACACUAGAGGGGGUGAAUCUGGACCCACUCUAAACCCAAAAUAAGGAUUAAGUCAAGGAAAAUAAAUAAAGCUGUACAUGACCACAGACAGAACAUGUGAUUUGAAGAAAGGAUCAGUCUUCUUCAUGACUGGAGUCAGAGACGGGGACCAGAGUCUGACACCUGGACCAUGACUUUAGACUUGACUUGGACAGAACCCUCAGGGACUUGACAGGACUCGAGCUCUGGGACAACCUUUUUAUUUUGUAUUUUUGUCUCAACAACAUCAUAAGCUCAAUAUUGUUUCCUUGUUUCACAUCUAAUCUUUCACCACAUCACCUGCUGCAGCUUUGCCACGGUGUUUCCCAGGCCACUCAAACAGAACCAGACAGUUUGAAGUUAGUAUGCAUCUGUAUGAAACCACUGUCAAUGAUCAAUAAGUGAACAAUCACCACUCAUUCCUUUCCCCUGCCCAUGUUGCAAGAAGUGUUUACUCUGCAGCCAAUCUGAGUGAGAGAGAGACUCAUUGACAUGGUCACUCCCUCCUUUUAAUGUGGGCUAAUAACUAAGAUCCACAUGAAGUAUGAACCCUACAACACUGCUGCUCUUUAAGUUUGAGUUCAAGUUUGAAGCAGCUUGCUGACCUGCUGAUAUUGCUCUAAGUUUUGGAUUGUUGAAAGGAGGAGGUCAUGGCACUGCUCAAAGAGGACAGAUGAAGGUGGCAGGGAGGGUGUCAGUGUAACAGUUCUCUCUUUAAAGAAGAGAGAAGGGAUGAGUAGAUUUAAUGGCCAGACUUAUCAGAAGCUCUAAGAUUUGACUACGGAGCCCAGGAUCGACCAAUCGAUGCACAAGAACGACACAACCACAGUGCACUCUUUAAGAAAACAGAAAUGCUUCCCUAUUUAUUAAACAGAAUGGGAAAGCCACAAUAAUAAUACAAUGUUAACACAGUCUAAACAACUCUUACCCGGGUAAGUAUGAAAAUAAAAUAAAAAUCUCUGCAGCUGCUUAUGUCACUAAUGUUCAGUCCAACCAACUCUGUACAAUGGAAAAUAAAUCCCACCUCACUAGUGUGAGGGUGGUGUGUAUGUAUGUCACAGUGUAAAAGGAUUCAGGGUCCGCGGCAUCUCUAAGUAUCCUCCGGGGUUUGGCUUGCCAUCAAACUUCGACUGGCUCCAUUAUCCAGGUAGGUCCAAUUCUGAAUGGGGUCCAACAGAAAAACCUGACCUACGACGGGUAGGGUCAGAGCAUUCAUUUUAACUUUGCCAACUCUCAAUGAAUUGGUAUAAAAUCAUAUUAAGUCUACACAAACUCUACUUCAAUAGAGAAUAACUUCUGGUUACUGAAUUUCUGUUGUAAUAUGACAUCACAAUUCUCGGCAAUAAAAUAAACAAUGCUCAAUUAUCAGAAUAUGAUUGAUUCUAAUAUGUUAGUAUGUUAUUGAAAUAACCUCUCAAAACCAGUAAUAUCAAAACAUUCUGUGCUCUUUACAUUGUAAUUAGCACACAAAUAACAUCAGCCAAUGAGGAAAUAAAAUAUGUAUGUGCACAGUUGGUAACCUGUGGCUAAGGGUGCUUAAAAUUCACAGGCAGAAUGCUAAAUACACACUCUAUACUGCUCAGUGAGCACAGAAAAAGAACUAACAAAAAGAGGAAAAGAAAUGUCUCAUAUGCAAAAAUGGCAGACUAAUGUAUCGCAUUCAUAUUUCUAGUGUCUACCCUAAUAUUAAAUAGCACAUUAGCUCGUACGCUACGUGUCGCCGUUAUCUUUUACAGUUUAGCAUCUCAAACUGGUCACUCACCGAUGCGUUUCUCCUCCCGUACGGCUUCUCUCACUGCGCUCAAACAGGUCCAGGUCGGGGAAUUUUUCCAACAGCUUUCUCAGAGUUUUAUCCAGGUUUUUUAUAGUUUUACCAUCCGAAAUUGUGUUCUGACUUGUCUCGUGUUCAAUCUGGCUUGCUCUCGUUCUCAUAGCGGCUUCAGAGGAAGUGAACCUGCGCCGAUCGGAUCAGUGGGUGGGAGCUUCUCUUCUGAUUGGAUGAAAGACCGUUUCCACUCCACCUCUUUCAAAUUACAAAUCCAUGACUUUUCUGUUACUGUUAAAUUUCUUCUUCUAAGUGAACAUGUUUCUUUUAAUCGGCUAACAAGCAUCAUAUUCAAUGAAUUGAUUUUCCACUAUGAAUUUAACAGUCUCUAAAUUCAACAUCUUGGAUUUUAAUACACAAUGUACUAUUUUCAAUACAGAUUUUUAACCUGGGUUACAUCAGGGUUUGUUUAGGAGUGCCCCAGCCCUGCAGUGCCCCCUCUUCCAGAAAUUUGAUUUUAACCUCCCAAACCCUAAACCUU